rnacentral:rRNA from 1 species
AGUGAACGCUAGCGGUAGGCCUAACACAUGCAAGUCGAACGGCAGCACAGUAAGAGCUUGCUCUUACGGGUGGCGAGUGGCGGACGGGUGAGGAAUACAUCGGAAUCUACUUUUUCGUGGGGGAUAACGUAGGGAAACUUACGCUAAUACCGCAUACAACCUACGGGUGAAAGCAGGGGAUCUUCGGACCUUGCGCGAUUGAAUGAGCCGAUGUCGGAUUAGCUAGUUGGCGGGGUAAAGGCCCACCAAGGCGACGAUCCGUAGCUGGUCUGAGAGGAUGAUCAGCCACACUGGAACUGAGACACGGUCCAGACUCCUACGGGAGGCAGCAGUGGGGAAUAUUGGACAAUGGGCGCAAGCCUGAUCCAGCCAUACCGCGUGGGUGAAGAAGGCCUUCGGGUUGUAAAGCCCUUUUGUUGGGAAAGAAAAGCAGCAGGUUAAUACCCCGCUGUUCUGACGGUACCCAAAGAAUAAGCACCGGCUAACUUCGUG